AGUUAUGUAACUGCUAGGGACAGCAGCCCGGAGAUCCGCUGCCCCUUUAAAGGGCAGAGCUCAGUGAGCUGAUGUAAUGUAGCCAACGUUCAGUACACAUUCUGCAAGGAUCAAAGCAUCCCUGUGCUCUGAGAGUGUCAGCUUGAAAGAACACUUCAAUUUCCUGAACUUCAACAGACAGUCUCUCCAAAAAUGAACUCCACUUUGCACUGCAGGAGGAUUUCUGGCUAAAUAAAGGACAGCAUUCCUUAAGGAACUUAUGAAGUGUGCUCCUAUCUGCCAAAAGGAGCAUUUAUUUCCUUUACCUUUGGCAAAGGGGACUUGUGGUUCUCUUGCUAACAUAUACCUAUGGCUUCUGUCUAGUCAUAGCAAGGUCUCUUGCCCCCAGGCUUCUUCAGCCUCCACUGAUUUAUGCAUUUCCAAGCCCCAGUACCCAUCUUCUGGCCCCUCCCUCAGUACAGCUACUCUUUUGUAACCAUUGUUAUUCUAACUAUGCUUUAUUCUCUAUCCCCUGUUAUUCUCCCCUCUCUCACAGAUAGCCCUGGCCAUAAUCCAGUCUGCUGGCCAUGUUUAGUCUACUUUUUCUCUUUGCUCUAAACACUUCCAGUUGACCCUGGCUAUUCUAUUACAUCUACAAUAAAAUCUUCCCAUACCA